UCCACACUCUCUUUACCUCUGCGUGCUACCCGUUCCUCUGACUCCAUGAUGAAGGUGGACGGAGGGAGCGAGGGUGGGAGUCUAGAGGGAGGAUGGAAAGAGAUUUAGCGCGGGGGAGGAUGGAAAGAGAGCAGUGUAAUCUGGAAGGUCUAGAGUGGUUGGAGAAUGGUCGGCCGCAAAGACGGAGAGAGUCACGGCCUCGAAGUGCUGCGCCAGAGAAUAGACAAGCCCCACUAGGUAGGCUGGGGGGCCUAGGAGGCGUUUCUGCCACGGAAAGACCAACAAGAGCCGUGAUAGGUACCUACUUCCAAAUCGCGCUGCCGUCACUCCAGUCGCACACCUCAAGGACCCAACUCAACAACGUCGCUCUCUGAAACCCCUUCCCGCGUGCCGCCGCUCUACGCCCCAAGGCUCUACGCCUCCGCCCGUGGUCUCAUGGCCGCCGUCAGCGCCGCCGCCGACGGCCCUACCUAGACCACCGAGCAACCCUAGAAGGAACACCAACCCGAGUACGAGAAGCAGGACGUGGUGUUGGUCUUCCUCGUCAAGGCCGGCGGGCAGUAUUUACUUCCCAGUCUUUGACUUCUUCAAAGAGGACUCUUUCAAUUAAAGUGACUUCUCGAAAAUUCGUCAUGUAGAAAACGUGCCGUUAAUCGUCUGGUUUACUGAGAUCGUUUCCGGAUACAAUAGGAACGCUUUCUCGUACCGUUGGAAGUCGAACGUACCCUUGAAUCAAGGGUUUAUUCCUUAAGAGUUUCUAACGAGAGAGUUCCCCGACAAUCACCCUCUCGGUAGUGAGUCCUUCUUCGGGUAGGAUAUUAUUGAGCCGACCGUGCCAAUUAUAUGUUUCGCGUCCUGAGAGUAAUACUAUAGUCGUGGUGUUACCACUGUGAGUUCUCGGUACGGGAGCGUGAUCUCCUCGCACGUUUCCGUCGUCAACAAGUCUGACGGCUCAAACCAGUCAAUCGACGUCUUAGUGAAGGGUUCUUAUAGGUAACAAAUUGCCACUUUGACUGUCUUCUCACCGAAGUCUUGGGUUUUGAUUCCUCAGCAAGUCUCCUCGUGUCCUUAAGGUGUGCCAACCAUCUGUUAUUAGACAUAGUAAAGACAUAUAAGAGCCUAUUACACGACCGGUGAAGUCAACAACAGUUAAGAUGUCACAGUUUACGUUUGGUGGGAGUCGUCGAACACAAAGUACAUCAGUGUCUGUCCUAGUUAAAACCACGAUACAGUUGGACCAAGGACUAUUUACUGAAGUUUCCCACAUGACAGCUUCAGGUGACGUAUCUUCUCAAGAGUACCAACUUACGACGAAGAAGAAGAGAACAGUCCGCCGACAGGCUCUACCUUUGUUUCCCAAGGAGACCACCAAACUUCUGUGUUCUUGCCCUUUAUUUCAAGGUAUUAGGCUUCAAACAAAGAGACGACUUGGUAAAUGCCAAAAUGUAGGGAGUUUAUGAGGGGUUGGACCUCUUCCACCAAAAAGAACUACUACUACAACACCACGUUUUCCUGAACUGUGUCGAAAAAAGGUAUCUUAACGUACCAUUACAAUAACCUCGUCACCUCUGAACAAAUCUCAGUAAAGUAGCCAUAGUGUUUAUAGAAUUAAAGAGCGUUGGUUAUUAGUCGAGUUUCUAACUAGGUGUAUGAACACCCACCCGAAAACCUUACUUGUAUAAACUGGAUUAACGAACCUCCUUUCGUUUACGUUGUAGCGAAAUAGUAAUAACCGUCCUCGUUUUACGACUAGUUAACGAAACCUCUUGCCCGUGUGAAGGUCGUCCGGAAAACUGUAAAAUACCGGAUUACCUCGGGGAUCUGGCCUCUACCGUGCAUAACCCAGAACCCAUACUACAUCUGUAUCUACUGGCGAACUAACUCUCACGACGACAACACGUAAUAUUACCCUUGUACUUUGGGACCGACUUCAACCGGUAAGUGGCCAUGUUCAGAUAUACCCUCGCCGUACAGUUAAAGAGCGUGGGUGUACAAUCUCUCACAUACAAAGUGAUCCCUCACACGUUAGAGACAAGUGGUAGUUACCAGAAGGUGCCGUGACUUCGAUCUUUGAAGUCAAAGAAAUUAUCCUAACGAAAACUCGUGGGAUCAAAGCUUUAAGAAAACUCGUGGGAUCAAAGCUUUAGAAGGUCUCGAUCUAAUAUAUGAGUUGUCCGUAGUAGUUUCUUGAGUUGACAAAACCCACCCCCUUCUAAAUAAAACUCUUCUUUUAUUAAGUCAACGUCUAAAAAUGUAUGUUAAGCCAGACCUUCAAAAUCGUCAGAUUACUCUAAUGGACCUAUCUAUAACAUUUCCUCUAUGUCAACAACCUAACUACCCAGUAAAAAACUCUACAAUCUUUUACGGUUAACGGUUUAGUCGACACGUCUCGAAUGACCACAAGUAAGAAAAGUCCGAUAACAUAAAAUAUGACAUGGCAACUCCUUACAGAAGGAAAAGGAAAAACAUAUUUGUCAAGUCAUAAGAAGUGUCAUGCUUGAGCCGAGUUGACCUCUAUAUCCUUUCAAUUCAUUAAAACUACAAGUCUUUAACUCAAAGAGUACAAGGUAUGGUGUAUCGCUUCUCUUUUAACGUUAAGAGGG
rnacentral:rRNA from 1 species